UACGUAGGGGGCAAGCGUUAUCCGGAUUUACUGGGCGUAAAGGGAGCGUAGGCGGCCUGCCAAGUCUGAUGUGAAAUACCGGGGCUCAACCCCGGGGCUGCAUUGGAAACUGGCAGGCUGGAGUGCCGGAGAGGCAGGCGGAAUUCCUAGUGUAGCGGUGAAAUGCGUAGAUAUUAGGAGGAACACCAGAGGCGAAGGCGACUCACUGGACUGUAACUGACGCUGAGGCUCGAAAGCGUGGGGAGCAAACAGG
rnacentral:rRNA from 1 species